rnacentral:rRNA from 1 species
GCUGCGCGUGCCUAACUGCAAGUCGAGCGGAGGAAGGAGCUUGCUCCCGGAUGUUAGCGGCGGACGGGUGAGUAACACGUGGGUAACCUGCCUGUAAGACUGGGAUAACUCCGGGAAACCGGAGCUAAUACCGGAUAGUUCCUUGAACCGCAUGGUUCAAGGAUGAAAGACGGUUUCGGCUGUCACUUACAGAUGGACCCGCGGCGCAUUAGCUAGUUGGUGAGGUAACGGCUCACCAAGGCGACGAUGCGUAGCCGACCUGAGAGGGUGAUCGGCCACACUGGGACUGAGACACGGCCCAGACUCCUACGGGAGGCAGCAGUAGGGAAUCUUCCGCAAUGGACGAAAGUCUGACGGAGCAACGCCGCGUGAGUGAUGAAGGUUUUCGGAUCGUAAAGCUCUGUUGUUAGGGAAGAACAAGUGCAAGAGUAACUGCUUGCACCUUGACGGUACCUAACCAGAAAGCCACGGCUAACUACGUGCCAGCAGCCGCGGUAAUACGUAGGUGGCAAGCGUUGUCCGGAAUUAUUGGGCGUAAAGGGCUCGCAGGCGGUUUCUUAAGUCUGAUGUGAAAGCCCCCGGCUCAACCGGGGAGGGUCAUUGGAAACUGGGAAACUUGAGUGCAGAAGAGGAGAGUGGAAUUCCACGUGUAGCGGUGAAAUGCGUAGAGAUGUGGAGGAACACCAGUGGCGAAGGCGACUCUCUGGUCUGUAACUGACGCUGAGGAGCGAAAGCGUGGGGAGCGAACAGGAUUAGAUACCCUGGUAGUCCACGCCGUAAAACGAUGAGUGCUAAGUGUUAGGGGGUUUCCGCCCUUAGUGCUGCAGCUAACGCAUUAAGCACUCCGCCUGGGGAGUACGUCGCAAGACUGAAACUAAGGAAUUGACGGGGGCCCGCACAAGCGGUGGACAUGUGGUUAAUUCAACAACGCGAAGAACCUUACCGUCUUGACAUCCUUGACACCCUAAGAUAGGGCUUUCCCUUCGGGGACAGAUGACAGGUGGUGCAUGGUUGUCGUCGCUCGUGUCGUGAGAUGUUGGGUUAAGUCCCCACGAGCGCACCCUUGAUCUAUUGCCCUUCAUUGGCACUCGGUGACUGCCGGUGCACCGGAUGGGGAUGUCAACAUUGCCCAGACCGGCGGAGGCCAGGUUUACCCCCAUUCCG